ensembl:lncRNA
ACAGGAAUCUUUUACAGCAUGUAAAAAUAAGGUCAGUGUGCUAGCUAUAUUUGGCAUUCACUACAGAAGAACCCAUGUAGCAUAGAACAGAUGCUUUAAAUGAGAAUGAAAUUAUACGUCUACAAAGGUACCAAAAAGCUGGAGUUCUAAAGUACAGCCCCUGCUGAAGAGAGAUGUGUAGCUAUAUGUUGAUAGUCCUGUAGACAGUACAAGGAUUUCUUCAUCUUUUCUUUGACGACUUCUGUCAAGACCUCUGCAAUCUAUAACAUCCCUGAAAUGUGCUCAUAUGAAAGAAGUUUGCAUUUCAGUAGAGGCUGCACUGCUUCCAAGUGCAGAUGCAAUCUGACCUCCCUGCUGCUGCUUCACCUCCUGUAAUUAUACACUCAGGGUUCACCUUUUUGACCCUACCAUUGCAAUUGCUUCUACCAUCAGCAAUUCCUUCAAAGGUUGCAUCUAAGCUUACCUGCAAGAGAACACCAGGAGACACCCUGGAUCCUGCUCCUUGGAUAACAAGAUCAUGUGCUUAGAUUUCACCUACACAGAGACAGGCAUGUGGGAAACUGCUGGUACAUAUCCAGACAGUACACUAAUGGGAAUCCAGGAUGUGAUAUCUGCAUCUGGGAAUUCAGAAACAUUCCUGGACUUUACGAUUCAGAACAAGGUCAGCUUACCGUAAGGUUCAUAGCAAGCCAGCAUGGAAAGACAGUGUCAUCCAUCAUUUAGGUCUUCUUUGGGGCCCCUAUAAUCCCUACAGGAUUAUAUUUCACAGACCAUCUGCUGAGAGUCAAGAAAAACCUUUCUGCUUCCUUCACUCCAGCUUCCCCCUUGAAGGAUAACAGAGACACAGGUCACAGCUGAAAACUCCUACAAAAACCUUCCUGUUUUCUGCUGUUCUUCAGCUCACUCAGGCUAUUGCUGACUUUUAUGAGCUGGACUUCUUAAGCUGAUACUUGACUACGCAUUCACAGCACCCUAGCUGUAUUCUGAAACACAACUAGGUGACUAUACAAGCAGCAAAAGUAACACUUUUUUUUUUUUUUUUUUUCACUUUUGGAUAACAAUCUUUCCUCCUAGAAUUUGUAUUCUUUCAGCACAGAAUUUGAGUGAUUUUGGCGGAAAACUUACACAAACCUUAUGGAAAACAGAACUAGAAGUGGAGGAGCUGUUACCAAACAGUGUAACAAAUAAUAAAGCUUUUCUUGGUUUUAAUUAUUAUUACAACAAAUUUCUUUUCAUGCCUGAUCUAGAAACGAUCCAUAUCUCCUACUUGUUUCUUUCCUAUUCUGUAUUUCUGCUUCUCAUGAUUUUCAUGGGAAAUCUCUCAUCUGCUCACAAAAAAAGUCUGGCAGCAAGAAAUUUCUACCCUCACCGCUGCGAGAGUACUUAGUCUAUGAGCUUGAAAGACUUAGCCACUGAGAAGGAUGUAUGUAAUAGGGAAUGCCAGAGAUGAUAAAAACAUUUAAACCAGAAGAAGAGAUGAAACUGUGCAAGUCCCUGUUUGCAUAACAGUAUUAACUUUCUUAGGAAGUAGAGGAAGGAGAAAAACAAAAAAGAAAAAUGACAGACAUUACUCAGAUCAUGAGAGAUGUUGUCACACCAGAGCAUAAGACUGAACACUCUGUCCAGACCUACUGAGGUCCCAGAUAUACAGUGUUAUGUAUAUGGCUGUCUGGAUGAAAAAAAAAAAAAAAAAAAAAAAUCUGAAAAAAUCUAAAGUUUUUUGCUGCUUUUUGGGAAUAAUAAUAAAAAUUCAUUGUUCUGAGUAGCAGAGGACCUCUUGUGACUGUAUGACCAUAGUCCAUAAAUGCAUGGAAAUAAGUGGCAAAUAUAGCCACAGAAGGAGUAAAUAUACUGUCAUAAAGCUUGAAGGCAGGUGUGUGUCUAAUUGUUUGUUUGACUUAUGCCUAGUGUGUUCCAUUUCUUACAAGAUAAAAAGAAAAAUGAAUGAAAAAUGCAGAAUAUAAGCUUUGAUAUGACCAAUAUCAAUGUUAAGCGUAUGUAAACUUUAUCCAAACAACGUGAAAAACAUUAUCAUUAUGCUAAGCACUUUGUAUCAGGCCCAUUAGGUGUCUUCUACUUAUUCAGAUUGCUAUCAAAGAAAUUAUUUAAUU